rnacentral:rRNA from 1 species
GGGAAUAUUGCACAAUGGGCGCAAGCCUGAUGCAGCGACGCCGCGUGAGGGAUGACGGCCUUCGGGUUGUAAACCUCUUUCAGUAGGGAAGAAGCGAAAGUGACGGUACCUGCAGAAGAAGCGCCGGCUAACUACGUGCCAGCAGCCGCGGUAAUACGUAGGGCGCAAGCGUUAUCCGGAAUUAUUGGGCGUAAAGAGCUCGUAGGCGGUUUGUCGCGUCUGCUGUGAAAGACCGGGGCUCAACUCCGGUUCUGCAGUGGGUACGGGCAGACUAGAGUGAUGUAGGGGAGACUGGAAUUCCUGGUGUAGCGGUGAAAUGCGCAGAUAUCAGGAGGAACACCGAUGGCGAAGGCAGGUCUCUGGGCAUUAACUGACGCUGAGGAGCGAAAGCAUGGGGAGCGAAC